ACUCAUUCAGAGCUUGAUGUUAGAACUACGAGAAACUUUAAAAAGAAGAGAUUUCUGAGUGUGAGUAAAGAAAGUGACCAGAUGUUGCGAAAAAUGAACUGAGUAAGGAACAGACUGAGUUUGUAAAGGGAAUUUAAAUUUGAGAGUUGAGUGAACAAAGUGAGCGCGUGCAUGCGGCGUGAGAAGAUGACGCAGUGGGUGGCUCGUGGAUUGUGCUCCUGACGAUAGGGUUUUUUCUUCACUGUUACAUCGUGUCUUUGGAAUCUGACUCUUGCACAGAUGGCCGAUGUAAUACAGAGGAAAGAAGAGGCAGUUCCACGUGGUGGCGAACCAUGUGAGAGUGAACGGUGCGUCGUACUGCUUGAAGGGAAGAUUAAAAUCUGUCUGCGCCAGAGGCUUGAUGCUGAACCAGGCCAGUGAGUGUUUCUCACAAAAAGCUUUUCAAAAUGAAUCGAUGUGUCAAGUGGAGCUCAGACAAAGUGCAUCGGCAAUGAGGGCAGUGGUCAGAGCUCAAAGUCUCAAAAUGCCACAGAAGUUCAGCCUCAAAGAUGUGACAGAUUUGAAUCAGAACCUCUGCGACCCAGACUCAGCAAAAACUGACACAUGCAGAUCUCAUUUGCUGGUAACUGCCAGUUCUUUGUAGUGCCAACUCUGCACUGAGCUCAAGCAGCAUGAAAGAGCACAGUCUCCUCUCUCACACGUGCUACGGAGCAGGUCCAUGUUAUUUUGUAAUGGCAUCAUGAGCGUGUCUGGGACAUCGGCACAUGACUUCAAACAGUUGGAGAUGAAAUAUGAAUGUGUUGCCAUCUGGGUGACGGUGGUACAGCUCUGCAGUGCAGCAUCCCAUGGAUUCUGGGAACAGCUCGGUUUUUAGAGGAUUUCCCUAGAUGCGUAACAUGUCCUUGAAGGAAUAUACCAUGUUACAUGCAAGUUAAGUUCUGGUGAAAGAAUUAGAGCCAUGCUGUCGAUUACUACAGAAAUACUGACUCUGGCUGAUAUAUAUGGAAUUUUUACAGUAUACAGUAUUUGCAAUGAUUUACUUGGGGAUAUCAAACUGAGCAACAUUGAAUAUUUUUAUGAUUUUAGUGGGCUUUUUAUUUUGCGUUGUCUUGAUGAAUGGUUUGAUUUAUUUCCAUUGAUCAGUUCAGUGAAUCAGUUUAAAACUGAUUCAUUGAUUUGUGUUUAACUCAAAAAUGUACUAAUGAAUGUUGGUGUGAUGGUUCCUCUGACUAAUUCAGAGCAAAUAGGCCACAUUUGUACUGAAUAGUGUCAGAUGGCUGAAAAAUAUAGAGAUAUUUGUUCUUCAGCUAUUUCAUAUAAAAGUACACUACUGUUCAAAAAUUUUUUUUGCAAUAUUACUUUUUUAUAUGAUUAUUAUUAUUUUACUGUAUUUUGUUUAAAUAAAUACAAC